rnacentral:rRNA from 1 species
AAAGGCGCAAUGAAAGUGAAGGUCCGCCUGGCGCGGACCGAGGGAGGAUGGGCGGACCCGAGGGACCGCCCCGCACUCCCGGGGCGUCUCGUUCUCAUCGCGAGAAGAGGCGCACCCAGAGCGUACACGCUGGGACCCGAAAGAUGGUGAACUAUGCCUGGUCAGGACGAAGUCAGGGGAAACCCUGAUGGAGGUCCGUAGCGAUUCUGACGUGCAAAUCGAUCGUCGGAACUGGGUAUAGGGGCGAAAGACUAAUCGAACCAUCUAGUAGCUGGUUCCCUCCGAAGUUUCCCUCAGGAUAGCUGGCGCUCGCUUCUGGCGAGUCUCAUUCGGUAAAGCGAAUGAUUAGAGGCAUUGGGGUCGAAACGGCCUCAACCUAUUCUCAAACUUUAAAUGGGUGAGAUCUCCGGCUUGCUUGAACUGUGAAGCCGCGAGAUAUCGGAUCAGAGUGCCAAGUGGGCCACUUUUGGUAAGCAGAACUGGCGCUGUGGGAUGAACCAAACGCCGAGUUAAAGCGCCUAAAUCGACGCCUAUGGGA